CCUACGGGGGGCAGCAGUGAGGAAUAUUGGUCAAUGGACGAGAGUCUGAACCAGCCAAGUAGCGUGAAGGAUGACUGCCCUAUGGGUUGUAAACUUCUUUUAUAUGGGAAUAAAACGUUCCACGUGUGGGAUUUUGUAUGUACCAUAUGAAUAAGGAUCGGCUAACUCCGUGCCAGCAGCCGCGGUAAUACGGAGGAUCCGAGCGUUAUCCGGAUUUAUUGGGUUUAAAGGGAGCGUAGGUGGAUUGUUAAGUCAGUUGUGAAAGUUUGCGGCUCAACCGUAAAAUUGCAGUUGAAACUGGCAGUCUUGAGUACAGUAGAGGUGGGCGGAAUUCGUGGUGUAGCGGUGAAAUGCUUAGAUAUCACGAAGAACUCCGAUUGCGAAGGCAGCUCACUGGACUGCAACUGACGCUCAGGCACGAAAGCGUGGGUAUCGAACAGGAUUAGAUACCCGGGUAGUC
rnacentral:rRNA from 1 species